UCACACACGAGACGGCGCGUCAUUGACACAACUCGGUGACCCGACGGGGGGAGGGAAAAAGUGAUGCUUGAAUGGUAGUGUAGUCGGUGUAGUACUAGAGUCGGGGGGGUCGACACACCUGUUGGAGAAAAGAUUCACUACCGUGUUCCCGCUUGACCCAACCUCGCCACGGCCUCAACAGAUCGUGAUUCAAAAGGGGGACAAGCCAACCGUGACCGUAGGGCCGGAGUGAACUAACGCCACAGGAUUUUACGCAUCAUUAAACAUGGUGGAUGUGUGUUUUCGUUAAAAAAAAGGAUAACUAAAAUUUUCAAGUCACGCAACGAUGAGUUUAUGGAGUCCUACACAUGUACAGUUUACUGUUUUACGGGCUCGAAACUUGAUAGCCAAAGGGAAGGGAGGUAAGUCGGCGAGAUUUGUCGAACUU